AGCCGAAACGCCUUCGGGCGUCUGUAUGGAUUGAACACCAUGCACUGAUGAGGCAGUUCCUC
rnacentral:hammerhead_ribozyme from 1 species